AACCACACUAUCAAUGAAUGGAUUCACCCGUGAUAUGAUGUGGUUGUUCCACUUAGGACGAGGACGUGGCAUCCUAUUAUCAACCAUUGCACGAAAUUAAUAGGAUGCCACGUUCUCAUCCUAGGUGGAACAACCACGUUAUCUCAUAGGUGAAUCCAUUCAUUGAUAGUGUGGUU
rfam:Oryza meridionalis cultivar OR44 (W2112) chromosome 12, whole genome shotgun sequence.